rnacentral:lncRNA from 1 species
AGACAGGAUUCUUGUCUUGGGCAGGAGGGAGCAGAGCACAAGAUUUCCUCACACUACUUAGAACAGUGUGCAAAUUAAGACUUAGGAAUUGUUUAUUUCUGGAAUUUUUCAGUUUACAUUUUCCAUCCAAAGUUGACUGUGAGUAACUGGAAUCUCAAAGGUAAACCGCAGGCAAUUUAACUCUGACUCUACAUGUAUCUGAAACAAUCCACAAACGAAGCUCUGCAGUCACAGUCACCUUCCCUUGAGCAGGGCUGUCACUCAAACAUGCCCUUUGUGAGUUUCACUGCAUUCCCUGCAAACUGGGGUUUACCUGUUUACCCCUAUCCUGUAUGCUUCCUGAGAUGCCAUCUGGCAGGUCUCAGUGGGAAAACAGUAGUAUCUGUGAAAAAUAUUGUUAUACUUGAGACGGAAGACACUCCCUGUGCUCCAGGCUUUCUUCAAUGGAAGGCAGGGAUUUCAACCUGGGCAACAAGUCCACAGAACAUGAGAUUUCUGAAGGUGUGUGGGAUACAUCAUGGUUACAUAAAAAUCCUUUCACUAUAGUUCCUGCUUCCCUAUCUUCAAAAUGAUUCCCUGAAGACUUCCGCCAUGACGGUCUAAAGCCUAACCUCUGAACUGUGGAUGGAAAAUUGAACUCCUUGAUGUGAUCUCUGCACAUCAUGCAACCCUAAACCUAAAUAUAUUCUCUGUGUGGGAGCCCCAUUAUUUUUAGUCUAAUACAUUUUAAGUCAUCUUAAAAAAUUAUAUUUUGUUUUCUUUUAUAUGGUCGAUUUUACCUUGUUUUCUUUGACUAUUACUUGUUGUCUUGUAUGAGAUUCUACUGGUCUCAAGGCUUAAACCUCACAAUCUUCAGGGUCUGAUGGAUUUCUCUCUAUUUUCUAAGUUCCCUGGGAUAUGUUUGAUGAGUUUUUGUGGCAGAGAAGCAGAGAAAGGAGAAAGGUGAUGUCUAUACUACUUCCUUUUUCUCCCCAGCCACAAAUGCCAGAGUCUAUAAAGAGACCCUGAGAAGCAAGCUCUGUGCAGAGUCACUUCUAAGAAAUACCAGGAUAAAAUGUAGGUGAGAGACAUUUGUGUGAAAAAAGGGAUGAGAGAGAGGAGGAAGGAUUGAGAAAAUUUUCAAGGCAGAAAGGGACCUAUAUCUUCUAAUUUGGCAAAAUGGGAGAGGUAGGUAGGAGAUGGGAAUGCUCUCUUAUCUAUCUCGCCUUUUGGAUGGAGAUUAAUAACACAACCCAGGAGAAAGUGAUCCUUAGGAAGCCCAAAUGACUGAAAACAGCCCUCGAGUAUACCAAUUGGACAAGUUGGGGUGAAGGAGACCUAGUUAUUGUAAUACAUAGGUAGAGAUUGUGGUUGUGAGACUGUUGGGUGAUUAACUCAUAGAUGUUCCAAAGUCAUCUGUCAGCUAAAAUAGCUGUCAUUAGGAAUGCUUGAAAGGUUUCAAAGAAUACUUCAGUAGCAAUGAGCAUACCUAGGACCUAGAUCUGGGCUUCUAAAUCUCAUUCUCCACUAAAAGAAUCUGGGUCUCCUUGCACAAGUGGCUGAUUCCAGGUCCAGGGCGUGAAAAGUACAAAGUGAACUUGGAACAUUUCUGUGCCACAAAGCAAGAAAGUGAUCAAAGAAUAAAGGGGACAUGUUGCAAAGGACCCAGGAGCUUGCUUAAAGAGGCUUCCAUUACCUACAUUUGAGAUAAUCUGAGUAUCAUCAUGACUAUUGAUGAUAAUGGAAUAUAACCCAGAUAACAAAAUAAAAAUCUGUAAGUCCAUACUAAUGUAAGUAAAUAAAUGAGGAAAUAAAUGAUGGAGAAGUGAACUCUUUUCCUUAUAGUAGAAUCCCAAAGAAUAAAGAUAGAGAAAAUGAUGGACUUGGAAAAUCACCAUUUGGCAGUCCCUAUAGUAAUAAUUGUUUCAGGUAAAAAUAAACAGAUUCGAAAAUCAGAGUAUGAUGAAAACCAGGAUACUUAAUAUACAUUGUCUCAAAGUAUAUCUCUACAACAUAUUUAUUAAUUUCAAAGAAAAAACUUUCUUUACAUUGGAUAAACCUGAUAGAAAUCACCUCGACUAUAUGAUCAAAGUUCACAUCACCAAUAAUGGGACACAUAGACAUCAUGUGCUUCCUGAGAAGGACAUAACAACAUUUCUAUGAUAUUUCUGUCAAAAAUGCAUAAUCUGAAUCUAAUCAUGAAGGGGUAAUCAGACUAACCCAAAUCAAAGGUUUGUCUACACAAUAACUAGUUUGAAUUAUUCAAAUACUGAGAUCAUGAAAUAAAAGAAAGAAUGAACUGUUUCAGAUUAAAGAAGAACAAACAGACAUGACAACCAAAUGUAACUUGUGAUUCUGGAUUUAUCCCUGGACAAUGUAAAGCACAUUAGUGGGGCAACUGGCAAAAUCUGCAUAUGUAAUUUGUCUACAAAUUGUCCACAAAUUGGAUAAUAGUUUUGGUAUUGGUAAUGGUAAUGAUAUUAUAUCAGUGUUAAUUGUCUGAUUUUGGUAAUUGCACUGUGAUUAUUGAAGAGAAUAUCAUGAUUUUUAGAAACUACAACUGCAGUAUGUAAAGCUAAAGAAAUAUUCUGUCUGAAAUUUGCUCUCUGGGACCUAUAUCUUCUAAUUUGGUGAAAUAGGUAGGAGAGGUAUGUAGGAGGAAUUUGUUUUAGGAAACAAAUUGUAUAUCUUUGUAUAUGUGAAUGACAAAGAAAGUGUGAUAAAAUGAUAAUACUAGAGGAAUACUUGAGAUGCA